rnacentral:rRNA from 1 species
UACAGAGGUCCCAAGCGUUGUUCGGAUUCAUUGGGCGUAAAGGGUGCGUAGGCGGCGCGGUAAGUCGGGUGUGAAAUCUCGGAGCUUAACUCCGAAACUGCAUUCGAUACUGCCGUGCUUGAGGACUGGAGAGGAGACUGGAAUUUACGGUGUAGCGGUGAAAUGCGUAGAUAUCGUAAGGAAGACCGGUGGCGAAGGCGGCGCUCUGGACCGAGACUGACGCUGAGGCGCGAAAGCGUGGGGAGCAAACAGG